UACGUAGGGUGCGAGCGUUGUCCGGAAUUAUUGGGCGUAAAGGGCUCGUAGGCGGUUUGUCGCGUCGGGAGUGAAAACACCGGGCUUAACUCGGUGCUUGCUUUCGAUACGGGCAGACUUGAGGCAUGCAGGGGAGAACGGAAUUCCUGGUGUAGCGGUGAAAUGCGCAGAUAUCAGGAGGAACACCGGUGGCGAAGGCGGCCCCCUGGACCGGUACUGACGCUGAGGCGCGAAAGCGUGGGGAGCGAACGAGG
rnacentral:rRNA from 1 species